AAGGGCUGAUUGGUCAUGACACACUACCUAAUUAUCAUACUUGGGAAGGGCUUAGCAGGACUUCUGUGCUGAAUCAUGCAGCUUGUGCAGGAAGCUCUGUACAGGGUCAUCUUCUAGAUAAGGUCAGACAUCCGUGCUCAGAGAUGCUCUCCAAGUAAGGUCAGGCAAGGAAGAGGAAGCCCCUCUAAGCAAGGGAGUCCUCCAUUUUGUGCAGAUCUCAGAGAGCUUAUUCGGGCAGCAUAAUAGCAGGAUCAAAACAUCUGAUGGGUGGGCACACACAGAAAUAUGCAAACAUUUAAUUUAAUGAUUGUGUUCAUUUUAGUUUUAUUUAAGAAAAAAUAUUAAAGGAUUUUCAGUAAUUUCAUGAUCAGUUAAGGGUACUAAGUCAGAUGCAGAGAGCUUCAAGGCUGGCUAAUAAUACACCUCACUUCUGUGGACCACGGGGAGUUACUAGAGCAACAGUGUCAGAGGAUAAAAUGGAACAAUGUAACAUUGCCCCAAGGCGGGCAUCCCACAGUUCUUCCAGUCUUCCUGUCUGCGUCCUCUGUGCCAACUCAGCGCCACACUGCUCCGGUAGAAGCUAAAGCUCUCUCCCACUGUGACUUCAGACGAUCUGUUGAUCGGCUGUGAUUCACCAUGUUGAUGACACCCUCCCAGCAGAGUCGGAGGGCAGAAGAACCUUGCUGUUGUGGGCUGAGCAUUUCCAAGCUUACAGGGACUGUCCUAUUGAAAACUUAUAUUCCCAUAUCCUUCAACUUUGGGAGAGCCUGUCUCAUGCAAGGAGGCUCUCUUUCCCUAGUGUCCUCCAGCCUUUGUCUUUCUUGAGUGCCAUUUGGUACUGACUAGAGAAAUUGGGAAUAUGGUGAUUAUCCUUAAACACAUCUCCGAGAGAGCAUUUCCCAAAUAUCAGGCACUGUUGAAGGAGGAAAUCAGCCAUCAACACACUUCAGGAGCACAGAGGAAAUGCUGAUAAUACUUCUUCUAUGAAGGAAAGUGCAAUCCCUCCUGUAGACCGUAAAUAACUCAAUCUCCCGUAUCUACGGAGGAUAAAAACAUUGAUGCGAAAGGAAGAGCAGAACAUGGGGCUCCUUUUUUCUUUUUCUUUUUUCUUUUUGAACUCAUAUUCCAGACUUGUGCAGCCUCUGAGCAGAGCAUCCUGUGAAUGAGAAAAGAUACAGAGAUACUGAGAAAGCCUUCACUGCCAGGGUUUUGAUUUAAUCCAAUGUGAACU
rnacentral:lncRNA from 1 species